AUGAUACAGGCUGCCAGGAAGAAACAACCUAGAGGAUGGAUGCUCGAACAUGCAAGGAGAAGCUUCAUCCCAUGCUGGAAAUCAGUGCUAUCAUCAACCAAGUUGGAAGCAAAGGCAUCUCCCUUUAGUCCCUUGAUAGAACUAAAAAGCAUGAGAGAGACUCAGGAAAUUUGGAAUAAAUCAGCAGCCGAAAGAUCCUCUUCAGUUCCAACUAAAAAUCUUGGUUUGCUGGGAAGAGUUCCGCAAUUAACAAGUAGUUAUCAAUCCAGAAGGCUGUUCUGUACUGCUGCAUUGACGGCCUUCAAACUUUUAAAGCAUGCAUGA
rnacentral:rRNA from 1 species